rnacentral:rRNA from 1 species
AGUGAACGCUGGCGGUAGGCCUAACACAUGCAAGUCGAACGGCAGCACAGUAAGAGCUUUCUCCUACGGGUGGCGAGUGGCGGACGGGUGAGGCAUACAUCGGAAUCUACUUUUUCGUGGGGGAUAACGUAUGGAAACUUACGCUACUACCUCAUACGACCUACGGGUUAAAUCAGUGGAUCUUCGGACCUUGCGCGUUUGAUUUAGCCGGGGUCGCAUUAGCUAGUUGGCGAGGUAAAGGCCCACCAAGGCGACGAUGCGUAGCUGGUCUGAGAGGAUGAUCGGCCACACUGGAACUGAGACACGGUCCAGACUCCUACGGGAGGCAGCAGUAGGGAAUAUUGGGCAAUGGGCGAAAGCCUGACGGAGCAAUGCCGCGUGAGUGAUGAAGGCCUUCGGAUUGUAAAGCCCUGUUAUUAGGGAAGAAAAGAUGUGGAAUUAAACCUGGACGUCUUGACGGUACCUAAUCAAAAAGCAACGGCUAACUACGUG